rnacentral:rRNA from 1 species
ACAAGCGGUGGAGCAUGUGGUUUAAUUCGACGCAACGCGAAGAACCUUUACCUGGGUUUGACAUCCCGAUCGUAUUCCAUGGAAACAUGGAAGUCAGUUCGGCUGGAUCGGUGACAGGUGCUGCAUGGCUGUCGUCAGCUCGUGUCGUGAGAUGUUGGGUUAAGUCCCGCAACGAGCGCAACCCUUGUCCUUAGUUGCCACCAUUCAGUUGGGCACUCUAAGGAGACUGCCGGUGUUAAACCGGAGGAAGGUGGGGAUGACGUCAAGUCCUCAUGGCCCUUAUAUCCAGGGCUACACACGUGCUACAAUGGCCGGUACAAAGGGUCGCAAUACCGCGAGGUGGAGCAAAUCCUAAAAAGCCGGUCUCAGUUCGGAUUGCAGGCUGCAAUUCGCCUGCAUGAAGUCGGAAUCGCUAGUAAUCGCAGGUCAGCAUACUGCGGUGAAUACGUUCCCGGGCCUU